GCGCAAUGGGCGAAAGCCUGACGCAGCCACGCCGCGUGAGCGAUGAAGGUCUUCGGAUCGUAAAGCUCUGUGGGGGGAGAAGAAGAAAGUCGGUGAAGAGCCGGCCCUGACGGUAUCCCCUUAGCAAGCACCGGCUAACUCCGUGCCAGCAGCCGCGGUAAUACGGAGGGUGCAAACGUUGCUCGGAAUCAUUGGGCGUAAAGCGCGCGUAGGCGGCUGAACAAGUUGGAUGUGAAAGCCCUGGGGCUCAACCUAGGAUGUGCAUUCAAAACUGUUCGGCUUGAGUCUCGGAGGGGGUCAGAGAAUUCUCGGUGUAGAGGUGAAAUUCGUAGAUAUCGGGAGGAACACCAGUGGCGAAGGCGCUGACCUGGACGAUGACUGACGCUGAGGCGCGAAAGCGUGGGGAGCAAACAGGAUUAGAUACCCUGGUAGUCCACGCCGUAAACGAUGAGUGCUAGACGCUGGCGGAUUGACCCCGUCGGUGUCGAAGCUAACGCGUUAAGCACUCCGCCUGGGGAGUAC
rnacentral:rRNA from 1 species